rnacentral:rRNA from 1 species
CAGGAUGAACGCUAGCUACAGGCUUAACACAUGCAAGUCGAGGGAAACGAUAGAGAAAGCUUGCUUUUCUAGGCGUCGACCGGCGCACGGGUGAGUAACGCGUAUCCAACCUGCCCAUCACUUGGGGAUAAACCUUGCGAAAGUAAGACUAAUACCCAAUGACGUCUCUAGAAGACAUCUGAAGGAGAUUAAAGAUUUAUCGGUGAUGGAUGGGGAUGCGUCUGAUUAGCUUGUUGGCGGGGUAACGGCCACCAAGGCGACGAUCAGUAGGGGUUCUGAGAGGAAGGCCCCCCACAUUGGAACUGAGACACGGUCCAAACUCCUACGGGAGGCAGCAGUGAGGAAUAUUGGUCAAUGGACGAGAGUCUGAACCAGCCAAGUAGCGUGCAGGAUGACGGCCCUAUGGGUUGUAAACUGCUUUUAUAAGGGAAUAAAGUGAGUCUCGUGAGACUUUUUGCAUGUACCUUAUGAAUAAGGACCGGCUAAUUCCGUG